rnacentral:rRNA from 1 species
GACGAACGCUGGCGGCGCGCCUAACACAUGCAAGUCGAACGAGCGAGAGAGAGCUUGCUUUCUCAAGCGAGUGGCGAACGGGUGAGUAACGCGUGAGGAACCUGCCUCAAAGAGGGGGACAACAGUUGGAAACGACUGCUAAUACCGCAUAAGCCCACGGAACCGCAUGGUUCAGAGGGAAAAGGAGCAAUUCGCUUUGGGAUGGACUCGCGUCCGAUUAGCUAGAUGGUGAGGUAACGGCCCACCAUGGCGACGAUCGGUAGCCGGACUGAGAGGUUGAUCGGCCACAUUGGGACUGAGACACGGCCCAG